rnacentral:misc_RNA from 1 species
AAGUCGUAACAAGGUUUCCGUAGGUGAACCUGCGGAAGGAUCAUUACUGAGUGGCUGGCGCCGCCUCUGCGUUGCGAGAGCGCGCGGGGGGGAGAGCGGUUACCCGACCUUUUGUCAUUUGGGCUGGCGGCUGUUUUCCAGGCUGGGGGCUUCUGGGCUGGGGUUCCCGAGUGGGAGGACCAGACUGGGGGGUUCCAGGGUGGAGACAGGCGGCGGCAUGUUCAGGUUCGGCGGAGGAGGCAGGGGCUGGCCGAGGUUGACCGGAUGGAUGGAAAGAUCGAUCGGGUUGACUGCGGGAGAGGCGACCUGCCCGCCGCCGGUGGGAUUACCAACUCUUUGUUAGCAAGGUGAAGUCUGAGGAAGCAAGAAAACGAAAAAGCAAAACUUUCAACAACGGAUCUCUUGGCUCUG